rnacentral:rRNA from 1 species
GACGAAUGCUGGCGGCGUGCCUAAUACAUGCAAGUUGAGCGAUGAAGAUUGGUGCUUGCACCAAUUUGAAGAGCAGCGAACGGGUGAGUAACGCGUGGGGAAUCUGCCUUUGAGCGGGGGACAACAUUUGGAAACGAAUGCUAAUACCGCAUAACAACUUUAAACAUAAGUUUUAAGUUUGAAAGAUGCAAUUGCAUCACUCAAAGAUGAUCCCGGGUUGUAUUAGCUAGUUGGUGAGGUAAAGGCUCACCAAGGCGAUGAUACAUAGCCGACCUGAGAGAGUGAUCGGCCACAGUGGGACGUAGACACGGCCCAAACUCCUACGGUAGGCAGCAGUAGGGAAUCUUCGUCAAUGGACGAAAGUCUGACCGAGCAACGCCGAGUGAGUGAAGAAUGUUUUCGGAUCGUAAAACUCUGUUGGUAGAGAAGAACGUUGGUGAAAGUGGAAAGCUCAUCAAGUGACGGUAACUACCCAGAAAGGGACGGCUAACUACGUGCCAGCAGCCGCGGUAA